rnacentral:rRNA from 1 species
GCCCUAGUACGGCGAGUGAGCGGCAAAGCUCAAUUUGAAUCUGGCCCUAGCGGUCCGAGUUGUAAUUUGCAGAGGAUGCUUUUGGUGCGGUGCCUUCCGAGUUCCCUGGAACGGGACGCCAUAGAGGGUGAGAGCCCCGUACGGUUGGAUACCUAGCCUCUAUAUAGCUCCUUCGACGAGUCGAGUAGUUUGGGAAUGCUGCUCUAAAUGGGAGGUAAAUUUCUUCUAAAGCUAAAUACCGGCCAGAGACCGAUAGCGCACAAGUAGAGUGAUCGAAAGAUGAAAAGCACUUUGAAAAGAGGGUUAAAUAGCACGUGAAAUUGUUGAAAGGGAAGCGUUUGCGACCAGACCUUCUCCAGGGGGAUCAACCGCUGUUCUCAGCGGUGCACUCCCCCCUGGUUUAGGCCAGCAUCGGUUCUCUUAGGGGGAUAAAGGCCUGGGGAACGUAGCUCUUUAGGGAGUGUUAUAGCCCCUAGCGUAAUACCCUUCAGGGGACCGAGGACCGCGCUUCGGCAAGGAUGCUGGCGUAAUGGUCGUCAACGACCCGUCUUGAAACACGGACCAAGGAGUCGAACAUUUGUGCGAGUGUUUGGGUGUUAAACCCUCACGCGUAAUGAAAGUGAACGGAGGUGAGAGCCUUAGGGUGCAUCAUCGACCGAUCCUGAUGUCUUCGGAUGGAUUUGAGUAAGAGCAUAACUGUUCGGACCCGAAAGAUGGUGAACUAUGCGUGGAUAGGGUGAAGCCAGAGGAAACUCUGGUGGAGGCUCGCAGCGG